UACGAAGGGGGCUAGCGUUGCUCGGAAUCACUGGGCGUAAAGGGUGCGUAGGCGGGUCUUUAAGUCAGGGGUGAAAUCCUGGAGCUCAACUCCAGAACUGCCUUUGAUACUGGAGAUCUUGAGUUCGGGAGAGGUGAGUGGAACUGCGAGUGUAGAGGUGAAAUUCGUAGAUAUUCGCAAGAACACCAGUGGCGAAGGCGGCUCACUGGCCCGGUACUGACGCUGAGGUGCGAAAGCGUGGGGAGCAACAGG
rnacentral:rRNA from 1 species